rnacentral:rRNA from 1 species
UACGGAGGGUGCAAGCGUUAUCCGGAUUUAUUGGGUUUAAAGGGUCCGUAGGCGGGCUUAUAAGUCAGCGGUGAAAGUUUGCAGCUUAACUGUAAAAUUGCCAUUGAUACUGUAGGGCUUGAAUUUUUGUGAAGUAACUAGAAUAUGUAGUGUAGCGGUGAAAUGCUUAGAUAUUACAUGGAAUACCAAUUGCGAAGGCAGAUUACUAACAAACGAUUGACGCUGAUGGACGAAAGCGUGGGUAGCGAACAGG